rnacentral:lncRNA from 1 species
UACACAUAAAAACACUAGAGAAGGAUGCGUGAAACAUCACAAUACUACAAUAAAAAUGAUUAAAUUAAUCUGUGAAGUAAUGUGGUACUUUUGGUUUGCUUACAUGCGAAAAAUUCAUUAUAACAACAACAAAACUGGAAGUGAACUAAGAAAAACAUGGUUUCGGACAAAUGUAGUUGAGGUUUAGCUCAAGAAAUGUAUUUGCGUUGGUAAUAUUGCAAUCAUACAACAAAUAUGUAUCACAUUACCAUAGAGACUAUGAUUGCAUUAUAAGUUCUAAUAUUUAUACCAAAGCAUUAUUGAAGACAUAUAUCAAAGAAAUAUUUGUUAUAUAUUACAAAAUAUUAGUCAACAUGAAAUAAAAAAGUUUACUAUAAAUAUUUGUUAUAUCUAUAUACUUAUACUAAUUAGAGACUCUCAAAGAAUUACCACGUUAAUCAGAAAAUAUGAGCCGUUCAUCUGGUAGGACCGAGUUAUUACGGUGUAGAUUAACCGAGGUUAAGAAAAAAUAUGGGUCGUUCUUUGUUUCCAGAGAAAAAAAUAUCAGGUGGGACCUAUGGGACAACAAAUCCAAUAACCUCACGGUAGGAUAGAUGGACGUCAUUUUUAUAAAUAAAAUGAACAUGGCCUAAAAUGCUACAGUACCAUGGAACAACAUUUUUUUUCUUUGGGAGGCCCCACACGGUUGUAAGAAUAGAUAGACCACAUGUUGCAACCAAUUCAAAAAUACUUUCCUGGUAUGACUAAUCUUUCUCUCUCUUACGUGAAAAGAAAAAGACAGAAAAUAUCUGUGGGUAUUCAAGCAUAGUCGUCAUUAGUCCUGGUCUCUCACGCAAGAAAAAGAGGAAACAAUGAACACGUUCUAUGCGAGAGUACUACCAAAGGAAACCGAAAAAAAAUCAUGUUGGUGUCAAUGCGGAGGAAGCUGGCCGGCGAGAACCAAGACUGGCGGUUGUUCGUGGGAAGGCUACCAGGGUGGAGGCACAGGCAGCCCGUGGACCGUGCAUGCACUUGCUGGUGGAUGGCCGCCAUGGAGAGGAUGCAUGUGCCGGCAAGGCGGCGGCGUGAGUUCAGAUGUAGUCAGGUAGGUAUUGCUUGCAUGCAGUUGUAUAUUCUAAUCUUUUUAACUAUUUGAAAAUUGAACCAUUACAUAAGUUCAUGGAUGAGCUUUCGCUUAGCACAGGUUGCUGGCGUCGAUGCAUCGGCGGUUGACCGAAAAAGAUCUGCAGCUGUACAUACAUAGGUAAUAUAUGUAUGCAAGCAGUUAUAUACGCUUGAGUGAUAGAUGGAUGGUCAAAAGGAAAGUAUAGGGCGAUGCACACGAUUUCGUAGGUGUGGCUGUAGUUGUUUAAGCCAUACAAAUUCUCAUUGAUAGCUCUUAACUAUUACAACAUCCAUACAAAUUUUCAUUUCAAAAUUCCCUACCAAAAGGAGUUCAGCAUCCAAAAGCAAUGUCAUACAAAGCCUAUGACAUAGAAUGCACAGGCAGGACCGUUGAUAGUGGAUGCACCGUUGAUAGUGGAUGCAGGAUGAAUUCUAUUUUUAUAAUCAUAAUAAUAUUUUUAAAUGGGUCCUUCUUUAUCUCUAUAAUAGGUACACAAACAUAAUUAGUAAAGAAAC